ensembl:lncRNA
GGUUCAGUGAUUUCUGUUUUUAAGGGAUCCAGAGGCCUCAAGAUGUUUUUACCCAUUCUUGGAAAGUGAUGCUACAAUGGGACACUCACCCUCACACAUUCCCUUACAAGAACUGUGAACUGUGGGUGCUACUCUUUCCUUCCUCUGCCCUUACUGCUACCACUCUUGUAGCACAGAUAUACAAGGAAGGGGGAAUACUGUGAGAAUAAUAUGCAGUUGAUAAGCAAAGAGGAAGAACCAAAAAACCUUCCAUAACUUACUGAGGCAUUUCUUAUAUCUAUUCUCAAAAGAGAUGUGCACUUAAAACUAUAGAGUGAUGUUUGUAGAGAGGGUGUGGGUACAAGAGUCAAGGGAGGAGAAACAAGAAGAAGCAAUAAGAGGAGCAAUGCUUGAUAGAAACAGUAAUAAAAGGAAAAAUCAGAUCUAAGUCUGUGUUGUGUGGCAUAUAAUUCAAGAUUUAAUCUAAAUGUACCAAUUUCUCUCACAAAACAAUAGGUGAUAUUCCAACCUGUCACAUUCAACGGAGGAAAAAUAUUAUCUGCCACCCACUGUUUCCCGCAUUGCUGGAGUUAAAAACCUUCUCUUUGCUUGCAGAGAGCUUUAAUUUGAGCCCUAUGUUUUCAGUCUCUCAGAUCAAGUUCCUCAUCUCUCUGAAUUCUCCUUAGAUUCAAGACUGGCGUGAGAAUAACAGCGGCAAUCACUUCUGUUAACAAUGGCAAAUACAAAAUAAGCAGGAAAGAGACACAUUCCUUGCCAGACCUAGUAAUUACAGACUUGGCUUGGUUCAUGCAAGUUCAACUCAAUCCAGAUUUUUCUGUAAAAGCUGAGAGUCCAAAUCCAGCAGAGAAAUGUUGCUGAACUGCACAAAAGAUGAAUUCAACCCAGACAGCACAUUCAUAUUGCCUGCAUACUCCUCACAUGCACAUCUCCUUUUGGGUUUGUCAUGCAGGAAGUCACACACAGAUUAGAAACCACCAACAGAAGAGCUUUAUGGGGAACAUCUGGACAUUUCUGCCAGUUCCAGGUACAUUGCAGAAAGAAGAAAACAUGUUUAAUAAAACCUGUUGCAAAGAGAAGAAACGAGGAGGAGGAAGGCAAUGAGAAGAAGGCAAUCUGUGACCAAGAAAUGACAGAAGCCUUCUGCUUAUAAUGCUAACUUUUGAAUAAAAGUAAGAGUAAUUGUGUUAAAAGUCAGUCACUUGUUCCUCAAGUAUCUACUAUAUUUUUUCAACUUCUGGUUUAAAAUAUUUACAGCCAUUUUAACGUAGAUUGACACCUAAAUCAGCC